UCCAGUCGCGUCCCCGCGGGCUGACGCUGUCGCUCUGUAUCCCCAGGAUGUGCUCAGGCCAGUGUGCCGAGAUCUGGAGAUACGUCACCCGGCACGUGCACCACCAGAGGAAUGUGAAGAAGAUCCGAGGGAACUUGCUGUGGUACCAGUAUUUGGAGGAGGCAGAGGUGAGGGGACCGGUGGAGACUGCUGGU